GUCUCUUUGAUUUAUUUUAAUAAAGAGUUGGGCCUGCUCGGUGAUUAUAUUUAACAGCUNNGGUAUUAUAACUGUACUAAGGUAGCAUAAUAAUUUGCCUUAUAAAUUAGGGCUAGAAUGAAUGGUUUGCCGAAAAUUAGACUGUCUCUAUUUUAUUUGUUAGAAAUUAAUUUUCAUAGUGAAAAAGCUUAAAUAGUUUAAAGGGUACGAAAAGACCCUAUUGAGCUUGAUAUUGUUAUAUAAAGUUUUUGAUGAUUUAAAUUGUUAUAAUAUUGGAUAUAGGAUAAUUUUGGUUGGGGUGAUCAAGGAAUAAAAAUAUAAGGUAACUUCCUUAAAGAUUUGUUAAAUUUAUAUAUUAAUAAACCAAAUUUUUUGCUUAGAUGAUAAGUUACCAUAGGGAUUANAGNGUAAUUUUUUUUGAGAGUUCAUAUUUAAAAAAGAGAUUGCGACCUCGAUGUUGGAUUAAAAUAACCUUAAGGUGUAGAGGCUUUAUUAGGUAAAUCUGUUCNAUUUUUAAAAUUUUAC
rnacentral:rRNA from 1 species